rnacentral:misc_RNA from 1 species
GAUGAAGAACGUAGCGAAAUGCGAUAAGUAGUGUGAAUUGCAGAAUUCAGUGAAUCAUCGAAUCUUUGAACGCACAUUGCGCCCUUUGGUAUUCCUUAGGGCAUGCCUGUUCGAGCGUCAUUUAAACCUUCAAGCUCAGCUUGGUGUUGGGUGACUGUCCGCUUCACCGCGGACUCGCCUCAAAAUUAUUGGCGGCCGGUACAUUGGCUUCGAGCGCAGCAGAAACGCGAACUCGGGCCCGUCGUAUUGGCUCCCAGAAGCUAUCUUCACAAUUUUGACCUCGGAUCAGGUAGGGAUACCCGCUGAACUUAAGCAUAUCAAUGCGGAGGA